UUUGAUUGAUUCUUUGACUUUGUUUUUCUUUGGCCGUCCAGUCAAAAAACGUGUCUUAUUUUGAUCCCAAGUUCAUCCAAGGGCGCACGGCCAGUCACAUGAAUUGCUUGUGAUCGAUAGGAAUUUGGCGGGAAAAUUCCCGGCUGAUGAGAAUGAUUAUAGAUUCUUAUGAACCCGUUGAAUGGCAAUGAAUUAUCUUCGUCUUCUUCGGAAUGGACAGGCAUUCUUCAACUUCACGUCAAAUUCCUCGAGGCGCUUGUUAUAAAGGAAUACGAAAUGAAUAAAUCACACAAAUGUUUACACACAUUAUUCACAAGCACGCUCAUGGUUUGCUACAAAAAAUCUCUCUCAAUACAGAGCCAGAGAUCGAGCGAGAUAAUGGAAGAGUAGAACUGACCCUCUUGCUCAGACAGGCGCUGAUAUUGACGAUAGCUGUCGGUGAUUCCUUGGAGAAAAUGAGAUGUCUGAGCGAGUCGAUUGAUGAAACCAGAUAUGGAUUUUUGCUAAUACUGGAUUUUGCAAAGAACUGGAUCGUAGGAAGAAGCAAGAUGCGUGCGUGCAAUAUGCAACAAUGACAAGAGCUGUAAGAUUAAACACAAAACCAGAUAAUAUUUGAAACUUUGAGAUAAAAUGUUAGGUUUCAGCGAGGAACGGAUCUGAGUUCGCUUUAAUAGCAGAUAUUUGUUAACCCGUAAUGGAGACCAGGAGAUUUUCCUUUUUUUUCUUUUUUUUUGUUUUUUGUUUGUUUUUUUUUUUUUUUUUUAUGGAGACUACCGAAUAAUCUGAGAGAGUUAGCAUACUUGAUAUUGACUGUAAAAAGAAUAAAUUUGCCAGAAAUUUAAGCUUUUA